GUCCACGCCCUAAACGAUGAUGACUAGUUGUUGGAGGAGUUAAAUCCUUUAGUAACGCAGCUAACGCGAGAAGUCAUCCGCCUGGGGAGUACGGUCGCAAGAUUAAAACUCAAAGGAAUUGACGGGGGCCCCGCACAAGCGGUGGAUGAUGUGGUUUAAUUCGACGCAACGCGAAAAACCUUACCUACCCUUGACAUGUCAGGAAGCCUGCAGAAAUGCAGGUGUGCCCGAAAGGGAACCUGAACACAGGUGCUGCAUGGCUGUCGU
rnacentral:rRNA from 1 species